rnacentral:tRNA from 1 species
CGGGCUGUAGCGCAGUGGUUUAGCGUACCAGACUGGGGGUCUGGGGGUCGCGGGUUCAAGUCCCGCCAGCCCGA